rnacentral:rRNA from 1 species
UACGUAGGGUGCAAGCGCUGUCCGGAAUUAUUGGGCGUAAAGAGCUCGUAGGCGGUCUGUUGCGUCGGCUGUGAAAACCCGGGGCUCAACCCCGGGCCUGCAGCCGAUACGGGCAGACUAGAGUUCGGCAGGGGAGACUGGAAUUCCUGGUGUAGCGGUGAAAUGCGCAGAUAUCAGGAGGAACACCGGUGGCGAAGGCGGGUCUCUGGGCCGAUACUGACGCUGAGGAGCGAAAGCGUGGAGAGCGAACAGG